UACGGAGGGUGCUAGCGUUGUUCGGAAUUACUGGGCGUAAAGAGCGUGUAGGCGGCCAAACAGGUCCGUUGUGAAAACUGGAGGCUUAACCUCCAGACGUCGACGGAAACCGCGUGGCUAGAGUCCGGAAGAGGAGAGUGGAAUUCCUGGUGUAGCGGUGAAAUGCGCAGAUAUCAGGAAGAACACCAAUGGCGAAGGCAGCUCUCUGGGACGGUACUGACGCUGAGACGCGAAAGCGUGGGGAGCGAACAGG
rnacentral:rRNA from 1 species